UACAGAGGUCCCAAGCGUUGUUCGGAUUCAUUGGGCGUAAAGGGUGCGUAGGUGGCGCCGUAAGUGGGGUGUGAAAUUUCGGAGCUUAACUCCGAAACUGCAUUCCAUACUGCGGUGCUUGAGGACUGGAGAGGAGACUGGAAUUCAUGGUGUAGCAGUGAAAUGUGUAGAGAUCAUGAGGAAGACCAGUGGCGAAGGCGGGUCUCUGGACAGUUCCUGACACUGAGGCACGAAGGCCAGGGGAGCAAACGGG
rnacentral:rRNA from 1 species